UACGUAGGGGGCAAGCGUUGUCCGGAUUUAUUGGGCGUAAAGAGCGUGUAGGCGGCCAGACAGGUCCGUUGUGAAAACUCGAGGCUCAACCUCGAGACGCCGAUGGAAACCGUCUGGCUAGAGUCCGGAAGAGGAGAGUGGAAUUCCUGGUGUAGCGGUGAAAUGCGCAGAUAUCAGGAAGAACACCCGUGGCUAAGGCGGCUCUCUAGUACGGUACUGACGCUGAGGCGCGAAGGCGUGGGGAGCAAACAGG
rnacentral:rRNA from 1 species